rnacentral:rRNA from 1 species
GAUGAACGCUAGCGGCAGGCCUAAUACAUGCAAGUCGAACGGUAGAUCGGGUAGCAAUACUUGAUUGAGAGUGACGUAAGGGUGCGUAACACGUAUGCAAUCUACCCUCAACAGGAGUAUAGCUCGGGGAAACUCGGAUUAACACUCCAUAACAUUACGAUGUGGCAUCACAUUGUGAUUAAAACUCCGGUGGUUGAGGAUGAGCAUGCGUCUGAUUAGUUAGUUGGAGGUGUAACGGACCCCCAAGACGAUGAUCAGUAGGGGAACUGAGAGGUUGAUCCCCCACACUGGCACUGAGAUACGGGCCAGACUCCUACGGGAGGCAGCAGUGGGGGAAUAUUGCGCAAUGGGCGAAAGCCUGACGCAGCCACUACCGCGUGUGUAGAAGGAACGGCCGUUCGGUUAGGUAA